rnacentral:rRNA from 1 species
AUUGAACGCUGGCGGCAGGCCUAACACAUGCAAGUCGAACGGUAACAGGAAGCAGCUUGCUGCUUUGCUGACGAGUGGCGGACGGGUGAGUAAUGUCUGGGAAACUGCCUGAUGGAGGGGGAUAACUACUGGAAACGGUAGCUAAUACCGCAUAACGUCGCAAGACCAAAGAGGGGGACCUUCGGGCCUCUUGCCAUCGGAUGUGCCCAGAUGGGAUUAGCUAGUAGGUGGGGUAAAGGCUCAUCUAGGCGACGAUCCCUAGCUGGUCUGAGAGGAUGACCAGCCACACUGGAACUGAGACACGGUCCAGACUCCUACGGGAGGCAGCAGUGGGGAAUAUUGCACAAUGGGCGCAAGCCUGAUGCAGCCAUGCCGCGUGUAUGAAGAAGGCCUUCGGGUUGUAAAGUACUUUCAGCGGGGAGGAAGGGAGUAAAGUUAAUACCUUUGCUCAUUGACGUUACCCGCAGAAGAAGCACCGGCUAACUCCGUG